rnacentral:sRNA from 1 species
AGUUAAUGCAAUCUGAAGAAAAGUUUUUUUGGGCUGGGUAUCUGGUCCUUUUUAGACUUUUUUUUUUUUUUUUAAUAGACCUUUUCUUUGGGCCACAGCCUUCCUGACCCUAGACGGGCUUUGUAAAAAGAGCAAGAGGCGUGUGUGCCAGCCUGUGCAGCAGUGAGGGCAGCAGUGAGGGCACAGGCAGCACCAGGGUCCCGGGUGUGUGGGUGCUGCCCCAGCUUGCAGUGUGGUCUCCUCGGUGCUGGCCACAGCUGUGGGUCCCCAGGAGUAUUGUGCUGCAGGUCUUAGACAGAUUUGGGUACUACUGGUUCUCUGUUCAGCGUGGCCUGGACAGUCCACAGAUGGCAGUAGACCAUGGGGUGUUGAGAUGCAAGGAGACGCUGCCGUUCUUUCACAUUCUGCUUUCGCUCCUGACAGCUUAGGAAAGCUCUCUUUGAAACUUUGGUAUGUGUGGACCUAAGAUUGAAUGUAUCUGAAAGGUUGCUAAUUUCUCACUGUCCUUGCUUCCCAGGACGCCAGGAAAGCAUGUGCAGAUGCAACUCUCUCUCAGGUAAGAGCCCACUGAGUCACGCAGAGCCAUCUGCCUGUGAGGAGGCUAGCACGGCACCCACACCUGGAGCCUCGGGAGGGCUCUGCUUGCAUUCUCUGUUGCGCAGUGAGGAUGCCAAGCCACUGCUUUGAUUAAGAAGUCAUUCUGAUGAUCACAAACAACAUCGACCCAGUGGGAAGAAUCCAAAUGCGCACGAGGAGGACACUGCGGGGGCACCUGGCCAAGAUCUACGCCAUGCACUGGGGCACAGACUCCAGGCUUCUCGUCAGUGCCUCGCAGGAUGGUAAACUUAUCAUCUGGGACAGCUACACCACCAACAAGGUCCACGCCAUCCCUCUGCGCUCCUCCUGGGUCAUGACCUGUGCAUAUGCCCCUUCUGGGAACUAUGUGGCCUGCGGUGGCCUGGAUAACAUUUGCUCCAUUUACAAUCUGAAAACUCGUGAGGGGAACGUGCGCGUGAGUCGUGAGCUGGCAGGACACACAGGUUACCUGUCCUGCUGCCGAUUCCUGGAUGACAAUCAGAUCGUCACCAGCUCUGGAGACACCACAUGUGCCCUGUGGGACAUCGAGACCGGCCAGCAGACGACCACGUUUACCGGACACACUGGAGAUGUCAUGAGCCUUUCUCUUGCUCCUGACACCAGACUGUUCGUCUCUGGUGCUUGUGAUGCUUCAGCCAAACUCUGGGAUGUGCGAGAAGGCAUGUGCCGGCAGACCUUCACCGGCCACGAGUCUGACAUCAAUGCCAUUUGCUUCUUUCCAAAUGGCAAUGCAUUUGCCACUGGCUCAGACGACGCCACCUGCAGGCUGUUUGACCUUCGUGCUGACCAGGAGCUCAUGACUUACUCCCAUGACAACAUCAUCUGCGGGAUCACCUCUGUCUCCUUCUCCAAGAGCGGGCGCCUCCUCCUUGCUGGGUACGACGACUUCAACUGCAACGUCUGGGACGCACUCAAAGCCGA